ACUUUCAACAACGGAUCUCUUGGUUCUGGCAUCGAUGAAGAACGCAGCGAAAUGCGAUAAGUAAUGUGAAUUGCAGAAUUCAGUGAAUCAUCGAAUCUUUGAACGCACAUUGCGCCCGCCAGUAUUCUGGCGGGCAUGCCUGUCCGAGCGUC
rnacentral:rRNA from 1 species